AACUUUUGACAAUGGAUCACUUGGUUCUGGCAUCGAUGAAGAACGCAGCGAAAUGCGAUAAGUAAUGGGAACUGCAGAAUUCAGUGAAUCAUCGAAUCUUUGAACGCACAUUGCGCCCCUUGGUAUUCCGAGGGGCAUGCCUGUUCGAGCGUCAUUAUAACCACUCAAGCCUCGGCUUGGUCUUGGGGUUCGCGGUCUCGCGGCCCUUAAAAUCAGUGGCGGUGCCGUCUGGCUCUAAGCGUAGUAAUUUUCUCGCUAUAGGGUCCAGGUGACCACCUGCCAUAACCCCCCAUUCUUUACGGUUGACCUCGGAUCAGGUAGGGAUACCCGCUGAACUUAAGCAUAUCAAUAAGCGGAGGCU
rnacentral:misc_RNA from 1 species